GAUGAACGCUGGCGGCGUGCCUAAUACAUGCAAGUCGAGCGAACGGACGAGAAGCUUGCUUCUCUGAUGUUAGCGGCGGACGGGUGAGUAACACGUGGAUAACCUACCUAUAAGACUGGGAUAACUUCGGGAAACCGGAGCUAAUACCGGAUGAUAUUUUGAACCGCAUGGUUCAAAAGUGAAAGACGGUCUUGCUGUCACUUAUAGAUGGAUCCGCGCUGCAUUAGCUAGUUGGUAGGGUAACGGCUUACCAAGGCAACGAUGCAUAGCCGACCUGAGAGGGUGAUCGACCACACUGGAACUGAGACACGGUCCAGACUCCUACGGGAGGCAGCAGUAGGGAAUCUUCCGCAAUGGGCGAAAGCCUGACGGAGCAACGCCGCGUGAGUGAUGAAGGUCUUCGGAUCGUAAAACUCUGUUAUUAGGGAAGAACAUAUGUGUAAGUAACUGUGCACAUCUUGACGGUACCUAAUCAGAAAGCCACGGCUAACUACGUG
rnacentral:rRNA from 1 species